rnacentral:tmRNA from 1 species
GGGGAUGACCGGAUUUGACAGCAAGGUAAAUGUAUUAGUAAGCAUGUCGAGUAUUGCUAUACUAACUCGGUAAAAAAGUAUGCAAAUUUUAAACGGCGAAAAUAAUUACGCUUUAGCUGCUUAAUAAUUUAUUAAAUAGCUUUUGUCCCGGAUUCAGGUUUGUUCAACACCUGUAACUUGGGGCAUCAUUAAGUUGAACUAGCUUUAAUCUUUCCUGGAUUUUAACGCAAAUUAUAACAGGAUAAGGUAAGUUUUGGUUGUGUUAUAGCUGAACUUAUUCGAAAAAAAAAUAACACUAAACAUGUAGAAAGUUAUUAUGUUUCUUGUUUGGACCAGGGUUCGAUUCCCUGCAUCUCCACCA